AGUUUGAUCCUGGCUCAGGAUGAACGCUAGCGACAGGCUUAACACAUGCAAGUCGAGGGGCAGCGGGAUUGAAGCUUGCUUCAAUUGCCGGCGACCGGCGCACGGGUGAGUAACGCGUAUCCAACCUUCCGUACACUCAGGGAUAGCCUUUCGAAAGAAAGAUUAAUACCUGAUGGUAUGAUGAGAUUGCAUGAUAGCAUCAUUAAAGAUUUAUCGGUGUACGAUGGGGAUGCGUUCCAUUAGGUAGUAGGCGGGGUAACGGCCCACCUAGCCAACGAUGGAUAGGGGUUCUGAGAGGAAGGUCCCCCACAUUGGAACUGAGACACGGUCCAAACUCCUACGGGAGGCAGCAGUGAGGAAUAUUGGUCAAUGGACGAGAGUCUGAACCAGCCAAGUAGCGUGAAGGAUGAAGGUCCUACGGAUUGUAAACUUCUUUUAUAAGGGAAUAAACCCUCCCACGUGUGGGAGCUUGUAUGUACCUUAUGAAUAAGCAUCGGCUAACUCCGUGCCAGCAGCCGCGGUAAUACGGAGGAUGCGAGCGUUAUCCGGAUUUAUUGGGUUUAAAGGGAGCGCAGACGGGUCGUUAAGUCAGCUGUGAAAGUUUGGGGCUCAACCUUAAAAUUGCAGUUGAUACUGGCGUCCUUGAGUGCGGUUGAGGUGUGCGGAAUUCGUGGUGUAGCGGUGAAAUGCUUAGAUAUCACGAAGAACUCCGAUUGCGAAGGCAGCACACUAAUCCGUAACUGACGUUCAUGCUCGAAAGUGUGGGUAUCAAACAGGAUUAGAUACCCUGGUAGUCCACACGGUAAACGAUGGAUACUCGCUGUUGGCGAUAUACUGUCAGCGGCUUAGCGAAAGCGUUAAGUAUCCCACCUGGGGAGUACGCCGGCAACGGUGAAACUCAAAGGAAUUGA
rnacentral:rRNA from 1 species